ACUCAUUAGAGUGAUUCCACGCUUCUUAAUACCCACUGGGAUUGCUUUAUUAUUUGAUAGAGUCAACAGUUGGCAUAUGCCAGAGUGUCUUUGUAUUCAGCUCCCUCAAAACCUCUGAAGACAGCUGAACAAAGGAAAUGAAUAACCAGCUUUGUUUCCCUCUCUCUCCCAAGAUUUCUUAAUGUUGACACCAGUGACUCCUUAACAUCACCGCUAAAGGAUCUCUUUAUCAGCCCUCUCCCACAGGCUUCUGAAGCAGAUGAGAAUGAGUUGGAGAACCAGGAGAACUUCCUCUUCUAGUCCUGGAGUGAAACGAUGAGGUAUAUUCAUCUAAGUUCUUGAAAGCUAAGGUGAGCAGAGCAAUUCAAUUGCCCCGUUUUCAUGAAUGUGUCAUUUUAAAAUAAAUAUAUUUUAGAAAUUCUAUCCCUUUCA
rnacentral:lncRNA from 1 species